rnacentral:ncRNA from 1 species
GUAUGAGUAAGUCGCAAUGAAAGAAUGAUGUCUCAGGAUGAGAUUAGGACGAGUAAUUACGGUUCAUAC